GACGUAGGGUGCCAGCGUUGCUCGGAAUAACUGGGCGUAAAGGGUCUGUAGGCGGUGUGGCAAGUCGGGAGUGAAAUCUCUGGGCUUAACCCAGAGGCUGCUUCCGAAACUGCCGUGCUAGAGUGCGAGAGAGGUGAGUGGAAUUGCAGGUGUAGCGGUGAAAUGCGUAGAUAUCUGCAGGAACACCAGAGGCGAAGGCGGCUCACUGGCCCGGUACUGACGAUGAAAUACGAAAGCGUGGGGAGCAAACAGG
rnacentral:rRNA from 1 species